GCUGGGUGUGGUGGGGCAUGCCUGUAAUCCCAGUGGCUCAGGAGGCUGAGGCAGGAGGAUCCUGAGUUUAAAGCCAGCCUCAGCAAUUUAGUGAAGCCCUAAGCAACUUAGAGAGACCCUGUCUCUA
rnacentral:sRNA from 1 species